AACGAACGCUGGCGGCAUGCCUAACACAUGCAAGUCGAACGAGACCUUCGGGUCUAGUGGCGCACGGGUGCGUAACGCGUGGGAACCUGCCCUUAGGUUCGGAAUAACUCCCCGAAAGGGGUGCUAAUACCGGAUAAUGUCUUCGGACCAAAGAUUUAUCGCCUUUGGAUGGGCCCGCGUUGGAUUAGCUAGUUGGUAGGGUAAAAGCCUACCAAGGCGACGAUCCAUAGCUGGUCUGAGAGGAUGAUCAGCCACACUGGGACUGAGACACGGCCCAGACUACUACGGGAGGCAGCAGUGGGGAAUAUUGGAAAAUGGGCGAAAGCCUGAUCAAGCAAUGCCGCGUGAGUGAUGAAGGCCUUAGGGUUGUAAAGCUCUUUUACACGGGAUGAUAAUGACAGUACCGGGAGAAUAAGCUCCGGCUAACUCCGUG
rnacentral:rRNA from 1 species